GCCUGGGUGGCUCAGUCGGUUGAGCAUCUGACUUCGGCUCAGGUCACGAUCUCACAGUUUGUGAGUUCGAGCCCCGCGUCGGGCU
rnacentral:tRNA from 1 species